rnacentral:lncRNA from 1 species
UGGAAAUCUAUGAAAUUUUAACACAAGGUUUAUGACCACAAAAGGAAGGUUGGUAUUGAUUUGGGAGUUUUUGGUCCCAACAUUUUAGGAAUUAGGGGCCAAAAAGGGCCCAAAUAAGCAUUUUCUUGGUUUUCGCACUAUAACUUUAGUUUAAGAUAAUAGAAAUCUAUGAAAUUUUGACACAAGGUUUAUGACCACAAAAGAACGGUUGGGAUUGAUUUUGGGAGUUUUGGUUUCAACAGUUUAGGAAUUAGGGGCCAAAAAAGGGCCCAAAUAAGCAUUAUUCUUGGUUUUCGCACAAUAACUUUAGUUUAAGUAAAUAGAAAUCUAUGAAAUUUAAAC